UACAGAGGGGGCAAGCGUUGUUCGGAAUUACUGGGCGUAAAGGCGCGUAGGCGGCCUGUUAAGUCGAACGUGAAAUCCCUGGGCUCAACCCAGGAACUGCGUCCGAUACUGGCAGGCUUGAAUUCGGGAGAGGGAUGCGGAAUUCCAGGUGUAGCGGUGAAAUGCGUAGAUAUCUGGAGGAACACCGGUGGCGAAGGCGACACGCUGGGCCGUACCUGACACUGAUGCGCGACAGCAUGGGGAGCAAACAGG
rnacentral:rRNA from 1 species